rnacentral:rRNA from 1 species
CUCCGGUUGAUCCUGCCGGACCCGACUGCUAUCAGAGUGGGACUAAGCCAUGCGAGUCAACGCCGCAAGGCGUGGCAUACGGCUCAGUAACACGUAGUCAACAUGCCCAGGGGACGUGGAUAACCUCGGGAAACUGAGGAUAAACCGCGAUAGGCCAAGGUUUCUGGAAUGGACACUGGCUGAAACCUAUAUGGCCCCUGGAUUGGACUGCGGCCGAUCAGGCUGUUGGUGAGGUAAUGGCCCACCAAACCUGUAACCGGUACGGGCUUUGAGAGAAGGAGCCCGGAGAUGGGCACUGAGACAAGGGCCCAGGCCCUAUGGGGCGCAGCAGGCGCGAAACCUCUGCAAUAGGCGAAAGCUUGACAGGGUUACUCUGAGUGAUGUCCGCUAAGGGCAUCUUUUGGCACCUCUAAAAAUGGUGCAGAAUAAGGGGUGGGCAAGUCUGGUGUCAGCCGCCGCGGUAAUACCAGCACCCCGAGUGGUCGGGACGAUUAUUGGGCCUAAAGCAUCCGUAGCUUGUUCUGCAAGUCCUCCGUUAAAUCCACCUGCUCAACAGAUGGGCUGCGGGGGAUACUACAGGGCUAGGAGGCGGGAGAGGCAAACGGUACUCAGUGGGUAGGGAUAAAAUCCUCUGAUCCACUGAAGACCACCAGUGGCGAAGGCGGUUUGCCAGAACGCGCUCGACGGUGAGGGAUGAAAGCUGGGGGAGCAAACCGGAUUAGAUACCCGGGUAGUCCCAGCUGUAAACGAUGCAGACUCGGUGAUGGGUUGGCUUCGAGCCAACCCAGUGCCGCAGGGAAGCCGUUAAGUCUGCCGCCUGGGGAGUACGGUCGCAAGACUGAAACUUAAAGGAUUGGCGGGGGAGCA